UACGGGGGGGGCAAGCGUUGUUCGGAAUUACUGGGCGUAAAGGGCUCGUAGGCGGCCAACUAAGUCAGACGUGAAAUCCCUCGGCUUAACCGGGGAACUGCGUCUGAUACUGGAUGGCUUGAGUUCGGGAGAGGGAUGCGGAAUUCCAGGUGUAGCGGUGAAAUGCGUAGAUAUCUGGAGGAACACCGAUGGCGAAGGCAGGUCUCUGGGCCGAUACUGACGCUGAGGAGCGAAAGCGUGGGGAGCAAACAGG
rnacentral:rRNA from 1 species